rnacentral:rRNA from 1 species
AGAGUUUGAUCAUGGCUCAGAUUGAACGCUGGCGGCAGGCCUAACACAUGCAAGUCGAACGGUAACAGGAAGCAGCUUGCUGCUUCGCUGACGAGUGGCGGACGGGUGAGUAAUGUCUGGGAAGCUGCCUGAUGGAGGGGGAUAACUACUGGAAACGGUAGCUAAUACUGCGUAAUGUCGCAAGACCAAAGAGGGGGACCUUCGGGCCUCUUGCCAUCGGAUGUGCCCAGAUGGGAUUAGCUUGUUGGUGGGGUAACGGCUCACCAAGGCGACGAUCCCUAGCUGGUCUGAGAGGAUGACCAGCCACACUGGAACUGAGACACGGUCCAGACUCCUACGGGAGGCAGCAGUGGGGAAUAUUGCACAAUGGGCGCAAGCCUGAUGCAGCCAUGCCGCGUGUAUGAAGAAGGCCUUCGGGUUGUAAAGUACUUUCAGCGGGGAGGAAGGGAGUAAAGUUAAUACCUUUGCUCAUUGACGUCACCCGCAGAAGAAGCACCGGCUAACUCCGUGCCAGCAGCCGCGGUAAUACGGAGGGUGCAAGCGUUAAUCGGAAUUACUGGGCGUAAAGCGCACGCAGGCGGUUUGUUAAGUCAGAUGUGAAAUCCCCGGGCUCAACCUGGGAACUGCAUCUGAUACUGGCAAGCUUGAGUCUCGUAGAGGGGGGUAGAAUUCCAGGUGUAGCGGUGAAAUGCGUAGAGAUCUGGAGGAAUACCGGUGGCGAAGGCGGCCCCCUGGACGAAGACUGACGCUCAGGUGCGAAAGCGUGUGGAGCAAACAGGAUUAGAUACCCUGGUAGUCCACGCCGUAAACGAUGUCGACUUGGAGGUUGUGCCCUUGAGGCGUGGCUUCCGGAGCUAACGCGUUAAGUCGACCGCCUGGGGAGUACGGCCGCAAGGUUAAAACUCAAAUGAAUUGACGGGGGCCCGCACAAGCGGUGGAGCAUGUGGUUUAAUUCGAUGCAACGCGGAGAACCUUACCUGGUCUUGACAUCCACGGAAGUUUUCAGAGAUGAGAAUGUGCCUUCGGGAACCGUGAGACAGGUGCUGCAUGGCUGUCGUCAGCUCGUGUUGUGAAAUGUUGGGUUAAGUCCCGCAACGAGCGCAACCCUUAUCCUUUGUUGCCAGCGGUCCGGCCGGGAACUCAAAGGAGACUGCCAGUGAUAGACUGGAGGAAGGUGGGGAUGACGUCAAGUCAUCAUGGCCCUUACGACCAGGGCUACACACGUGCUACAAUGGCGCAUACAAAGAGAAGCGACCUCGCGAGAGCAAGCGGACCUCAUAAAGUGCGUCGUAGUCCGGAUUGGAGUCUGCAACUCGACUCCAUGAAGUCGGAAUCGCUAGUAAUCGUGGAUCAGAAUGCCACGGUGAAUACGUUCCCGGGCCUUGUACACACCGCCCGUCACACCAUGGGAGUGGGUUGCAAAAGAAGUAGGUAGCUUAACCUUCGGGAGGGCGCUUACCACUUUGUGAUUCAUGACUGGGGUGAAGUCGGAACAAGGUA